rnacentral:lncRNA from 1 species
UGAUGCUCACUGACAACAUCAACAUGGAAGUUCAACUGUACCAUAUGGCGGGGUAUGUGGUCAACCUUGAGGCCUAUACCAAUAUCCUCCAUGAGGAGGUGCACCAGCUGCACAAUGCCCUCAACCCACCCGAGGCUCCUGAAGCAGCAGAGGAAGGACCAGUUGUCAUCCAAGUGGAUAGUGAUACUUCUGAGGAUGAAGCAGAAGAGCCAGGAACUCCCACUCCAGAUGAGGAUGUUACCACAAGUGGGUCGGAUAUGGAUGACGACUAGGUGUUGAGAAGGCAAGGAGUAUGACCUAGUG